rnacentral:lncRNA from 1 species
UUUUGAAGCGGGGCGACGGUGGAGGGGGAUUUUGUUUGGUACAGAGGGUGGGGAAUGUGUCUGGAGGGAUAUUCGUGGCUGGAAUGAUGUGAAUUGCAAUCCCAUAGAAUCAGGAAAUCACCAGGCGCAAACAAAACAUGGGCGGCUCAGGCCAAGGAGAAUAAUCGAGACGUGUCUAGGCGCCACGGAGACGUGUCUAGGCUCAGGCCAAGGAGAAUAAUCGAGACGCGUCGGUGCUGCGGUGUCUAGGCGCCACGGUAGGAUCCAUGUGUUAACGCAAGCUUGGCGUAGGUCGAAUUUUGCGGGUGUAGGUUAGAUUCAAAACGCAGGCGGGGGAAACAUAAACAGCAUCAUUACUAGUGCCCUACCCGCGCAUCCUCGCGGGGAAUAUUUUGGGUACUAUUGGUUUUCAAAUCUGUAGAAAACAUUUAUCGGUUAGUACUUAGAAGGGGAGCCUUGGCGCAGCGGUAAAGCUGUUGCCUUGUGACCAUGAAGGUCACGGUUUCGAGUCCUCGAAACAGACUCUUGCAGAAAUGCAGGGAAAUGUUGUGUACAGAAGACCCAAAGUGGCCGGACACUUCCCUGCACCGGGCUGCCCUUUUUAUUUAUUUAUUUAUCAGUUACUACUUAGCUGGAUCCAUCCAUAUGUUACCCAAGCUUGUCUUGGUUCGGAUUCGUGCGCUUAGUUUAGAUUCAAAACAUGGCCGAGAGGAAACACAAAUAGCAUCAUUACUAGUGCCCUGCCCGUGCAUUGUUGUGGGGAAUAUUUUGGGUAUUAUUAGUUUUCGAGUUUAUUGAAAACAUUUAUCAGUUAGUACUUAGUUAUAACGUUGAGCAUAAGUUCCGUGUAAUUUUAAAAGAAAAGGUGUAUGUAAAUAGUCCAAAUCACUUGAACAUAUAUUUAAGCCUGGAAAACUUUACUUCAUUACAUAAUGUCCCAUUUACAUUGAUUUUCCUUUUAUGAAAGAGAAGA